AAUUGGUGUCGUUUUCGAACAAAAACGAACGGUUUAUUUUUGUCAUUCUUGUCGUAUACUGUUAACUUCAUGUACCCUUAAGAUAUGAAGUGUUUUUCUGUUAUUUUAACCCUUUUGUUUCAGUGACAGUGUUUGCCGCCCUUUGUUUGAAGCAUCCCUCGUUCAAGUCACGUGACCACUACUUCCUGUUGGUGAAAAUCCUUAUCUGCAGAAGAAUGGAACAAGUGGCUUGCUUGUUCACAACUGAAGGAGAUAUAAUAAUAAUGUUCCGGCCAUACUAUGGAACCCGCAGAGACAGAUUCCUGGAGAAAAGCAUUGCAAGGCCAGGCACAAUGGAUCAACCAGCAGGGGGACCAGCUAGACCUCCUGAGCCGGGGUCUACAAGGACUGUCAGAGCGUCAACACGCCAUGUUGGAACGAGUCAACAUGCUGCUAGCCACCGUUGUACCCACCUCGAGCUCCAUGCCCGACCAGGCAUCCACCCAGCCCACACAACCUGCUACUACCAGCAACAUACGGCUUUCCCCGACUUGAACGUUUUUCCAAAGAAAGGAAAGACGUAAGACAAUUCUUGACACAAUGUGAGCUACAUUUCGAGCUAAGAGUUGUGCUUAGCAAGGAUUGUGCACUUUCACUUCUCCUCCACCAACUCUACGAUUGUGGCAUCGAUUUUCUAGCCGGAGUAGCUUUACCAUCGACCCGCAUGUACAAGUUGUCUAACACCGAACUCAAAGCACUAGAAGAAUACAUAAACACAUCAGUAGCUGCGGGUCUCAUUCGCCCUUCAACCUCUCCUGUAGCCGCGGGAUUUUUUUUCGUCGAAAAGAAGGACAAGUCCUUAAGACUUUGUAUAGACUACCGCGCUCUUAAUCAGAUUACUGUCAAGAAUACGUAAGUAUCCUCUUCGACUCCUUGAUUCUGCAUUUACUCCCUUACAGUCAGCAAAGUUUUUUACUAAACUCGAUUUAUGUAGCGCUUACCAUCUCGUUCGCAUCCAAGAAGGGGAUGAAUGGCAGACUGCAUUUAACACUCCUCUCGGACAUUUUGAGUUUCUAGUCAUGCCUUUUGGACUUACUAAUGCACCUGUCGUUUUUCAGGGUUUCAUUCAUGACAUUUUUCUGGACAGGACAGGUCGGUUUCUCUUCGUUUACCUGGACGAUAUAUUAAUUCAUUCAUCAACAUUUGACGGUCAUGUGCAGCAGGUUCGGUUAGUCCUUCAACGACUGCUCAAGAAUAAACUUUUCGUCACGCUGGAAAAA